rnacentral:lncRNA from 1 species
GGCAUUUAUGUAAGUCACAGGAGUAGCGCUUAUUCAAGAGCUGCCAGGAUGUUGGACUGUCUGCCAACAAUGAAUGGAGCUACUGUAAACACCCACAUGCAGACUUUUGAGCGAAUAUAGCUUCCAACUCCUUUGGGUUCAGCCUAACCCCGCACGAUUUGGGCAGGAUUUCCUGCUGCUCAAGAGAUGUUUGAUGUGUCCCCUUGUCAAGAUGACCAGCUUGACUUUCCACAUAACUAGCAGUUACCAGAGAAAAUCCCAUCUGCAGAUGGCCAGUGUCCUCAUCUGUAUGUACUGCACCAACAGCACUGUGUGAAGAGAAGGGGUCCUACCAAAUAACUUACUGACCAAUGAGGAAUGUAAGCUCCACCAUCAGGAACAAGGAGGAAGAAUGAGAAGAGGAGGAACAGGAGAAGGAACAAGAGCAGGAGGAAGAGAUGCAGGCAGCAACAUCACCUGCUAGGGCAUGUCGACAAGAACCCAACUUCCAUCCAAAGAAAUUGCACUUUUUAUAAGUUCCAUCCCCUCCCAGUGGCGCCACCUACUGGCAAGCAAAGCAUACAGACCUUUUGGAGAUGUUCCAGAAACAAACUGAAACUAUUCCCACAUGAACCCCUCUAUCCCCUGACUUUCUUCCCUCGGUUUCUGUUUCCUCCUCUGCCCGAGGCUGUCAACAAUGGUCUGCAAUUCUGCCUAACCCACUUUUCCUGUGAUCUUGCCAGGUAAGAAACUCAAGAACCCUCUUCAAUAAUAACAUCACUGGAGCCAGCAAGGCCCUUCUGCCCAGGAGGCCUAGACAUCCUGGCAGAGGGUGUGUUGACUGCAUUCACGCUGUCUGGCUUCAGCUGACAGUGCCCAGAUGUUCAGUUUCCAGACCUCUCCAAGGUCGUCUUCAUCUUCUUCUGAAGGUGCAGGGAUGCAGCCUUCCUGUGACCUCAGGGUGAUACCAGUCACUCUAGAAAAGAAAGAUCAAAGAAAUAGAUGAAAUCCUACCUUGUAUAUAAAUAUCUGUCUA